rnacentral:lncRNA from 10 species
GAGGGGAAUGCUGACCUCAUAGAAUGAGUUUGGAAGUAUUUCUUCCUCUUCCAUUUUUUUGAAGAAUUUGAGUAGAAUUGGUAUUAGUCCUUCUUUAAAUAUUUUGUAAAUUUUAGGAGUGAAGCCCUCAGGUCCUGGACUUUUCCUUGAGGGGAGACUUUUUAUUACAGCUUCAAUCUUGUUACUCAUUGUUGGUUUGUUUAAGUUUUCUAUUUCUUCAUGGUUCAAUCUUGGUAAGAGGAUAUUUCUCCCUUUAGGUACUCCCAAUGCUUCCUGUGGGUUGAGGCAGGGACAGUUACCCUGCCAAAGAACCUGGGAUUAUGGAGAAGCUUGUUAUCACCUUGAUCGCACUUUUUCCAGUAUAGAAACUGGCAUUAUCUCCUCCAGUGCUCAGAUUGCACACUCAUGAGAGGUGAGCAAGCUUCCAAGAACAUCCAAUGCCGAUGCUCCAGAAAAGCCUUUAACAAAAGUCAGAGGUCCAUGAGUCUCGCUCUGUCGCCCAGGCUGGAGUGCAGUCACUGCAACAUAAGCCUCCCGGAUUCACACCAUUCUCCUGCCUCAGUCUCCUGAGUAGCUGGGACUACAGGCACCCGCCACCAUGCCCGGCUGAUUCUUUGUAUUUUUUAGUAGAGACGGGGUUUCACCGUGUUAGCCAGGAUGGUCUCGAUCUUCUGACCUCGUGAUCCCCCCGCCUUGGCCUCCCAAAGGGCUGGGAUUACAGGCGUGAGCCAUCGCGCCCGGCUGGUAAUUUUCAUUCUUAUAAUUGCUGACUAGUUGAGAAGAAGAGGUCCCAAACUACAGAGAAGAAAGGAAGAAAGAUGUGUCCAGUGAAAUCCAGGGUCCCCCCGCUCCCAUUCAAGGCCAUCUGAAAGUAUCUCCCCCUGCUUUUCAAGUUCAUCGAAUAUGUUUAAGAAACCUGGAAUUUCCAAGUCCAUCAGCCUAUUGAAACAAAACAGCUAUAACUAUAAAAUUUAGAUCCUUUUAAGAUUUUCAAUCCUUAGAAUUAAAGAUAUUUAUUACAAAAUAUAGUUGUAUUAAAUCAUAUAUGUCAAAAUAUUACAAACGUGUAUUUCAUAUUAGAUAACUAUCAACAACACAAAAUUUCCUAUCAUUUUUCCUAGUGCUCCAUUUUUUCAGACCUUUUCUUAAUCUAUUUUCUUGUCUGAGACCAAAUACAAAUGAAUCAAAAGCCAUUUCAGUGUUACAUAUUGGGUUUCCACGCAUCCCUGUAGCAUCUUUAUCAGUAGCCUUGCGCAGAGUACACACUUUUGUACCUCCUUCUUAUUAGCAACUUCAUUUUUUCAUAGUACAGAAAAGAAUUCAUAUAACCCCAUCAGGUUCCUUACAUGGACCCAAGUUAAAACGCAUCAUCUCAAUGUCAGUCUCUUGGCUGUCUGCAGGGUAAUAUGGUGAAUUGCUGCCUGUGCUGUAAUUUUGUCAGCUCUUUAGUAAAUUACAGUCAAGGAUAAAGAGGACAGAGCUGCCUACUGACAAACAACAUUCUUUAUUCUCCUUUUUCUACAAUGUACUGAAUAAUACCUUAGAGCGUAAGUCAUCAUAUACCCUAUAUAACAAAUGUAUAAUUACAACACAUGAAGCCCAAAAAAUGAGCUUCAAAGAAUAUCACGUUUUUUUUUAAACAGGAAGUGGAAAGAUGUUUCAGAAGAGUGAGCACAGGUUUUAGACUCUGAAAUCUUUUAGCAGCAUGAUGCUUUUGAACAUCUGAUCUAGGUUUUGAUUCUGCUAGCUACAUGUAUAUUUUAGCCUUUGGUCUUGCAUUAAAACACCAGUUGCAAAUAAUGUUAGAAAAAUGGGGAAUAGAGGAAGGAAUAUUUUUAUUUACUUUAUUUUUAAAAUUCUGCAUAUAUAAAGAACGUUGCUUGUGGCAUCCCUGACUCUUUGCAACAACCUUAUAAAGUCGUCAUUAUUAGCCUCAUGUUACAGCAGAAGCUGUGAGUUGCUGCCAAAGUUGCUUACUAUCAACCUCUGAAGAGAUGAAACAGAGAGUCAUACAAGAUCUGUUUAAAUCCAACAGCCUUUGACACUUUAAACUUCAGAACACAUUGGAUUUACACGUGUAAAAUUGCCUUAGAGUUUGUAAUUUCAUGAAAGCAAAAAUUCAACUUUUCCUUAAGAACAAAUUUAGCAUGUAUGCCUUGAAACUGGCUUAUUAAAUAAUAUGAAAAUGUUCAUUGUGGCUAUUUGGCCUCCUAAUGCUUAGUUUUAUUUAGCAAACAUCAAAACAAAAUAUGUAUUAAUCCAAAGCAAAUAUAUUUUAUUUAAUUGGAUUAUUAAUAGUUCACUAACAUCAUACUGUAGGUAUUUUU